GACGAACGCUGGCGGCGUGCCUAACACAUGCAAGUUGAGCGACGAACCAGGGCUUGCCCUGGGGCAAAGCAGCGAACGGGUGAGUAACACGUGGGUAACCUACCCCGAUAACCGGGACAACCCGCGGAAACUCGGGCUAAUACCGGAUGUGCACACUGGACUUCGGCUCAGUGCGUAAAGGAAGCUUCGGCCUCCGUAUCCGGAGGGGCCCGCGGCCCAUUAGUUUGUUGGUGAGGUAACGGCUCACCAAGACCGCGAUGGGUAGCUGGUCUGAGAGGACGAUCGGCCACACUGGGACUGAGACACGGCCCAGACUCCUACGGGAGGCAGCAGUGGGGAAUCUUGCGCAAUGCGCGAAAGCGUGACGCAGCAACGCCGCGUGGGGGAAGAAGGUCUUCGGGUUGUAAAACCCUGUCAGGAGGGACGAAGGUACGGCGGUGAAUAGCCGUCCGGACUGACGGUACCUCCACAGGAAGCCACGGCUAACUACGUG
rnacentral:rRNA from 1 species